rfam:Camelus ferus unplaced genomic scaffold scaffold1715, whole genome shotgun sequence.
GGGGGUACAGCUCAGUGGUAGAGCAUGUGCUUGGCAUGUGUGAGAUCCUGGGUUCAGUCCCCAGUACUUCCA